GUGAAAUUUAAAAGGCCUUGUUAUACCAAAGGGUGCCUAAUGGAGAUAUUGGGCUUCAGUAACCAUUCAAACUAAUUGAUUCUAACAACUUCAUCUCCGCUCAGUGACAUGGACGAUGAAGAAUACAUUGUUGGGAAAUUCUCGGUCUGAGAAUCUGAAAUAUCAUAUUAGGAGAAGGGUGGUAAAGCUUGGUAUUUGCUGAUAUGGAUUGGUGUUUCAAACAACGGAAAUACUUGGGAGCCCAAG